rnacentral:ribozyme from 1 species
GAAGACACGUUAAAAUCGGUCAUUUUGGUGCUUUUGUUUUUCCUAUGUUUUUUUGUUCCGUUUCGAAUCUUUUUCAUCUUUCGGAGAUUGAAUGCUGUCAAGAAAUUCCGUGAU